CCUCCCCUGACCCCUUCAUCUGACCAAUCAGAAGAGCGUCCAGCAGGUCUCGCGGCUCUCCGGGCGUCAGGGUCAUCUGUGAGGUCAAAGGUCAUGAAGACAGCACGAACAAGUCUAGCAACCGCAGCGAAAUAAUUACUUCUUCAGGUCCUUGUUGGGGAAAACCUGAUGGGAACAAAGGUCUGAUUAAUCCAGGAAACACGCAUGACGUAGCAAUGAGUGUGACACGUGACCCCGGAGCCAAAAACCAUCGGGAUGUUAGCUUUGAGAGGUUUUGCGCUCCAGGGUCAGGAGGAGGUGAGAGCGCAGGCCGACCCGGAGCCAGGGGAAGAUGUCGACGAGUCCUCCUCGGGCGAUGGUCUGGACGAUGCCGUCGUUGUAGUCCAUGACGG